rnacentral:lncRNA from 1 species
AUUUAUUUUUUUCCCACAUGCUGCCUAAUUAAACUGCAGAACUCAAUGCCACAGGAUGUUGAAGGGGCCAAAAGUAUAAAUGGGCUCAAAAAGCAAUUAGACAAAUUCCUGGCUGAAAAAUUCAUGGAGCGUUACAAAACGCAAAGAUGCAGAUACAAUCUCUGGCUCACGGUGCCCCUAAGGCACAGACUGCUGGGAGGGUGUGCCAGAAUAAAGUAUCCCUCUACAGUUGCUCUGCUUUUACAUUGUUCCCCGAAAUACCUGCCACGGGCCCUUGUCAGCAGCGCUGGGCUGAGCAGGGAUUUCUGCAGCCGCUGCUACGGGAAUAGGCAGUUACUCAUAAAGGACAUGAAAACAAGCCUCUAACCCAGGAACACACUCUCCAGCUGCAGUGUAACAGAUGUGCAAACCAUUAGUAUCUGCUACCCAUUCCAAGUCAUUAAAUCCGAAACCCUGCAGGAGGAGUCAAAGGUGCCAUCAGGGGACCUUGGCAGUUAUGGUGUUUCUACUCAGCUGAUUUCACUGGAAAGGGCCAGUGCUUUACCUUGAGGCACAGAGGAGAGUGAGGAACCCAGAUCUGGAUUAAACAUGGAUGAAAUGACUAUGAAAAUGUACAGCUGGAGUCAUAGGAUGCAUUUUCGGCUCCCCUCAGUGUGGUGAAGGGGAGAUAAAUGGUGUGUCACUGAUGAGGGAAGGUGUAAAUAGCAUCCAUGCCCAUGUAAAUGGGCAGAGUUAAAACAGAGAAGACCCUGGGCUAAAAUGCUGCAGUGUCUGGGGAAAAGGGCAGAGGCAGGAUUUGUUUCCUGAGAGCUCAGCUCCAACAGAGAAAUGGAUGGUUCAAGUGGGACUCCAGAGUGUGUUACCAUCCAGACAAGGUCUGUGCCCACCAGCUGACCCAGGAUUUGGGAAGCACCUUAUCAUUUGCAUCUGAAAAAACCCCUCAUCACAAGGUAGCUAGCACUGAAAAGAGACAGUCCAAGGAUUGAAUAGGAAGAUGGAUCUGCCCACGGAGGAAACAAAAGGGCAGGCUGGGGAGCUGCAUCUUCAGAAAUGCCCCUGGCCCCUGUCCUAUGAGAAUACAGCCCUGGUGGGCACCGAGACUGGACCUCAGCAGAACCUGACCAGAACAAGCCCAGACACCUCAGGCAUCUCCUAGAAAGCCAGACACCUUGGUUUGUCCCAAGCACAUCCAGAUCCCCUUCCCUCCUCAGAAGGCACUGUUCCUCCUGGGACAGAAUUCCUCGAUCUUCAGACGCCCAAAUUCACGGCAUUUUUGUCGGCUGCGUGGCAUUCCAGCCGCCGGCUGCCUUUCUGAUGUCGCAUGUGGGUGAGCUUUUGCUCACUCUUUUGCCAUCUCUCUGCAAGC